UACGAGGGAUGCAAGCGUUAUCCGGAAUUAUUGGGCGUAAAGCGUUUGUAGGCGGGCGAGUGUGUUUAAUGUUAAAUCUUAAAGCUCAACUUUGAAAUUGCGUUAAAAACUGCUUGUCUUGAGUAUGGUAGGGGUAAAGGGAAUUCCCAGUGUAGCGGUGAAAUGCGUAGAUAUUGGGAAGAACACUAAACAGCGAAGGCACUUUACUAGGCUAAUACUGACGCUGAGAAACGAAAGGUAAGGUAGCGAAACGGAUUAGAUACCCGUGUAGUCUUACCCGUAAACUAUGGACACUAAACGGUAAAUUUUUAAUUUACUGUUAAAGCUAACGCGUUAAGUGUCCCGCCUGGGGAGUAUGCUUGCAAAAGUGAAACUCAAAGGAAUUGACGGGGGCCCGCACAAGCGGUGGAGCAUGUGGUUUAAUUCGACGGUACACGAAGAACCUUACCAGGAUUUGACAUGCUAGAUAGUUGCUUGAAAGAGUAACGUGCCGUAAGGAAUCUAGACACAGGUGGUGCAUGGCUGUCGUCAGUUCGUGUUGUGAAAUGUUGGGUUAAGUCCCGCAACGAACGCAACCCUUGUCUUUAGUUAUUUUCUAAAGAGACUGCCUGUAAUAAACAGGAGGAAGGUAAGGAUGAGGUCAAGUCAUCAUGCCCCUUAUGUCCUGGGCUACACACGUGCUACAAUGGGAAAGACAAUGAGCUGCAAAUCUGUAAAUUUAAGCAAAUCUCUUAAACUUUCUCGUAGUUCGGAUUGUGGGCUGCAACUCGCCCACAUGAAGUUGGAAUCGCUAGUAAUCGCCAGUCAG
rnacentral:rRNA from 1 species